CCAAUAGCGUAUAUUAAAGUUGUUGCAGUUAAAAAGCUCGUAGUUGAAUUUCGGAAUUUUUUUAUCGGUUGAAUCAACAGGUUUAUACUGAUUUUAAGAAUUUCUACCUUCUGGAGAACCAUAAUGUCAUUAAUUUGGUGUUUUGGGGAACCAGAACUGUUACCUUGAAAAAAUUAGAGUGUUUAAAGCAGGCUUAUGUCUGAAUAUAUUAGCAUGGAAUAAUGAAAUAGGACGGCAUGGUUCUAUUUUGUUGGUUUCUAGGAUCACCGUAAUGAUUAAUAGGGAUAGUUGGGGGCAUUAGUAUUCAAUUGUCAGAGGUGAAAUUCUUGGAUUUAUUGAAGACUAACUUCUGCGAAAGCAUUUGCCAAGGAUGUUUUCAUUAAUCAAGAACGAAAGUUAGGGGAUCGAAGACGAUCAGAUACCGUCGUAGUCUUAACCAUAAACUAUGCCGACUAGGAAUCGGACGAAGUUAAUUUUUUAAUGACUCGUCCGGCGCCUUACG
rnacentral:rRNA from 1 species